GACGAACGCUGGCGGCGUGCCUAAUACAUGCAAGUAGAGCGCAGUGGCGAACGGGUGAUUACCGCGUAGGUACCUGCCUCAUGGCGUAGGAUAACUAUUCGAACCGAUAGCUAAUACCGCAUACUGUGAGCUGGACCUGCGUUGUAUUGGCUAGUUGGUUAGGUAAAGGCUCAACAAGGCGUAGAUACAUAGCCGACCUGGGAGGGAGAUCGGGCAAGACGGGACUGAGACACGGGCCAGACUCCCACGGGAGGGAGCCGUAGGGGAACUUCGGAAAUGGACGGAAGUCUGACCGAGCAACGGCGAGUGGGUGAAGAAGGUUUUCGGAUCGUAAAGCUCUGUUGUUAGAGAAGCGGUACCUAACCAGAAAGGGACGGCUAACUACGUGCCAGCCGCCGCGGUAAUUC
rnacentral:rRNA from 1 species